rnacentral:rRNA from 1 species
UGCCUACGGGAGGCAGCAGUAGGGAAUCUUCCACAAUGGACGAAAGUCUGAUGGAGCAACGCCGCGUGAGUGAAGAAGGGUUUCGGCUCGUAAAGCUCUGUUGGUAGUGAAGAAAGAUAGAGGUAGUAACUGGCCUUUAUUUGACGGUAAUUACUUAGAAAGUCACGGCUAACUACGUGCCAGCAGCCGCGGUAAUACGUAGGUUGCCAGCGUUGUCCGGAUUUAUUGGGCGUAAAGCGAGUGCAGGCGGUU